rnacentral:lncRNA from 1 species
GCUUAGGACUUAGGGUUUUAGAUUAAGUUAUUUUUUUAGGGCUUUUAAGGUUUGUUUUAGGGUUUUUAAAAGGUUUUUAGGGUUUUUUAGUGUUUAGUUUUUCUUAGGAUUUAGGGUUUUUUAGGGUUUAGGUCUUCUUAGAGUCUCAUAAGGCUUAGGAUUGGAGGUUUAUCCUUAAGGUUUAGGGUUUAGGUUUCUUAGGGUUUGAGAGCAUUUAAGGUCACCUAGGUUUAUUUUGGGUCUUUUAGGGUGUAGGGUAAAUUUAGGGUUUAGUGUUUUAGGUUUAGGGUAGUGUUUAGUGUUUAGGUUUGUUAGGUUUAACAGUUUUUAAGGGUUUUUUAGGUUUAGAGUUUUAAUGUUUUUUUUUUUUUUUAGGGUUUUUUAGUGUUUUUUUGGGUUUUUUUUCAAGAUAAAGAGUUUUUUUCGAUCUAAGAAUUUUUAGGAUCAUUAUUGUUUUUACGGUUUAGGGGUUCUUAGGGCUUAGGGCUUAGUGUUUUACGGUUUUUUUAGGUUAACGAUUUUUAGGAUUUUUCAGUGUUUAGUUUUUCUUAGGAAUUAGAGUUUCUUAGGAUUUAGGGCUUCUUAGAGUUUCAUAAGACUUAGGGUUUGGGGUUUAUCCCUAAGGUUUAGGGUAUAGGUUUCUUAGGGUUUGAGUUUAGCAUAUAAGGUCU